rnacentral:rRNA from 1 species
ACGGGAGGCAGCAGCUAAGAAUAUUCCGCAAUGGGGGAAACCCUGACGGAGCGACGCCGCGUGGAUGAUGAAGGCCGGAAGGUUGUAAAAUCCUUUUAUGACUGAGGAAUAAGUAUUCUGAGAGAAACGCCAUAUGGUGACUGUAGGUUAUGAAUAAGCAACGGCUAAUUACGUGCCAGCAGCCGCGGUAACACGUAAGUUGCGAGCGUUGUUCGGAAUUAUUGGGCGUAAAGGGCAUGUAGGCGGUUUUGCAAGCUUGGUGUGAAAUUCCGGAGCUCAACUCCGGAACUGCGUUGAGAACUGCAUAACUAGAAUCACUGAGGGGCAAUCAGAAUUCCUGGUGUAGGGGUGAAAUCUGUAGAUAUCAGGAAGAAUACCAAUGGCGAAGGCAGGUUACCAGCAGAUGACUGACGCUGAGGUGCGAAGGUGCGGGGAGCAAACAGGAUUAGAUACCCUGGUA